GAUUUUUGAUCUAAUAAUGAAAAUGAUAGAUUCAAGGCUAAAAAAUUAUAAACAUCAAGAGUUUGAUACUUCUAGAAGCAUAACUCAAUUAUAUAUAUAUAUAUAUAUAUAUAUAGAGAGAGAGAGAGAGAGAGAGAGAGAGAGAUUAAUGGUAUCCAGCUGUAUACUAUCCAGUUUUUAACCCUUGCAUGAAAAAAUUAUAGGAUUGGUCUAAUGGUGGUCCCCUAAAGUUUAGUUGUAAUCCUUCUAGGAUUUAGUAGGUGAUGGAAUUGAUCGAGUGGUAGAUGUGACGGUGAUGGAUAGCAUUAAGUGUUUAAAACUAUUAAUAGGAUCCGAGAAAGACUAUAUAUAUAUAUAGAGUUGAGCUAGAAUACUAUCGAUAGCAAACGGGCUUUGUUGCCACCUAUUUGUUUUCGAUGAUGGAGCCUCCAAAUCGACGAUCGGCACCGUUGAAUAUGAUCUAUACCGUUGAAUCGACGAUAGGAGUCUUGUAAUCAAGAUCAAGAGUAUAGAUCUCAUUUUAAGUAGUUUAAAGAAUUUUCUAAUAAAAAUUCAAUUGAUUUGGAUAUCUUUACGCUAUUAAACGAGUAAACGUCUCAUAUCAACCGUUAAAAUUACAAAUUUUGAAACCCUUUGAUCAUUAGGCAAAUGAUAUUGAAAAGAUUUAAAAUUUGAUUUCUAAACACUUCAAGUGGUAUAGAUCAUGUUUAACGGUCCCAAUCGUCGAUUUAGAGGCUUUAUCAUUGAAAACAAAUGGGUGGCAACGGAGCCCGUUUGCUAUUGAUAAUAUUCUAGCUCAACUCUCUCUCUCUCUCUCUCUCUCUCUCUCUCUCUCUCUCUCUCUAUAUAUAUAUAUAUAUAUAUAUAUAUAUAUAGUCCGGCUACUAUACUAUCGAUAAUACCAAGCUUUUGAUACUAUUGAGUUUUCUACCGUUAGAUCUACCCUUUGAUCAUUUCCACCCGUUAGAUUAUACUAUUAAACCAACCACCCACUCAACCCUAGGGGACUACUAUCAUCCUAACCGCACAUCUUUUCAUCCAACGACCGAAAACUCAAUAGUACUAAGGGCUUGGUACUAUUGAUAGUAUAGUAGCAUAAUUCUAUAUAUAUAUAUAUAUAUAUAUAUAUAGAGUCCGGCUGGGAUACUAUCGAUAGCACCAAGGGCUUAGUGCUAUCGAGUUUUCCACCGUUAGAUUUAUUCCUUUGAUUAUUUUAUCCAUUAAAUUAUACUAUUCAAUCAACCACCCACUAAACCCUAGGGGUUUCACAUCAUCCUAACCGCAUAUUUUUCAAUCCAAUGGCUAAAAAACUAAUAGCACCAAUAGCUUGAUGCUAUUGAUAGUAUUCCAGCCUAUAUAUAUAUAUAUAUAUAUAUAUAUAUAAUUAUACUAUUAUACUAUCAAUAGUACCAAGCCCUUGGUACUAUUGAGUUUUCGGUCGUUGGAUGAAAAGAUGUGCGGUUAGGAUGAUAGUGGUCCCGGGUUAAAUUGAUAGUGGUCUCCUAGGGUUGAGUGGGUGGUUGGUUUAAUAGUAUAAUCUAACGGGUGGAAAUGAUCAAAGGGUAGAUCUAACUGUAGGAAACUCAAUAGUACCAAGGGCUUGGUACUAUCGAUAGUAUAGUAGCCGGACUCUCUCUCUCUCUCUCUCUCUCUCUCUCUCUCUCUCUCUCUCUCUCUCUCUAUAUAUAUAUAUAUAUAUAUAUAUAGUGUUGAGCUAGAAUACUAUCGGUAGCGAACGGUUUUUAUUACCACCCAUUUAUUUUCAAUGAUUGAACCUUCAAAUCGACGAUCGGCACCGUUGAAUAUGAUCUAUACCGCUCGAAGUAUCUAGAAAUCAAAUUUCAUGCUUUUCCAAUAUUAUUCUCUUGUCCAUCAAGUAGACACAAAAAUAAACAGUUGAAAAUAAAAUAUCCUUUAAAAAGUGAUAAUAGGGGUUUUGUAAUCAAGAUCAAGAGUAUAGAUCUUAUUUUAAAAAGGUUAAAAAAUUUUCGGGUAAAUUACAUUGUUACCCCCUGAACUUUUGGCGAAGUUUCACUUUACCCCUCGAACUCGUAAAAUAGACAUCUAACUCCCUAAACUCUAAUAUUUCGUUCAUGUUACCCCUUCCGUCAGUUUUCCGUCAAGCUCCGUUAACCGGAAACUGACGGAAGGGGUAAAACAAAUGAAAAAUUAAAGUUUAGGGUGUUAGAUGUCUAUUUUAGGAGUUUGGGGGUUUAAGUGAAACUCGCCAAAAGUUCAGGAAGUAGUAAUGUAAUUUACUCCGUAAGGGACUCUUGACUAUAAAUUAUUUUAUUAUAAUAUGUUUUUUAUGGAUUGACUACUAAUUCUCAAGUUAGUGAUCAUGCUUGAUUUUGAAUUUAUAUAUAUUUUUUAUCCUAAAAUAAAUCAUACCAUAAUUUAUUCUACAUUUUAUUGUAAUAAAAUAAAAGUGAAAGAAAUGAAUUAGAGUGGCUUAAAGAUAAAAAAAGAGUGAUACUAACUACCUACGAUAUUCAAACACUCUACUAUCCCAACGUACUCGCUAAUAUGGUUGAUUUACAAUAGGUGUCCUCACUCGGAUAUAGAAAUUUUAAUUCUCAGUUAAUUUUCUGUAGUACUCAUUUGUCCCUUUUAUCUUUAGAAAUAUUGUUCUAUAAAAUACACUUAAAUAAAAUUUUUGUACUUCAUUUCAGCCAAUUAGAAAUUUUUAAUAUAAAAAUAUAAAAAUAAUUUAUAGUAAAAAUUUGGAUAAAUUGUAUUGUUACCCCCUGAAUUUUUGGCGAGUUUCACUUAACCCCCCAGACUCCUAAAAUAGACAUCUAGCACCCUAAACUCUAAUAUUUCAUUCGUUUUACCCCUUCCGUCAGUUUCCGGUUAACGGAGCUUGACGGAAAACUGACGAAAGGGGUAAUAUGAACGAAAUAUUAUAAUUUAGGAGGUUAGAAGUCCAUUUUAGAAAUUCGAGGGGUAAAGUGAAACUUCACCAAAAGUUAAGGGGGUAACAAUGCAAUUUAUCCAAAAAUUUUCUAACCAAAAUUUUGCUGAUUUGAAUAUUUUUAUGUCGUUAAACGAAAAACAUCUCAUAUUGACUGUUUAAAUUCAAAUUGUUUGAAAUCCUUUAAUAAUUAGGUCAAUGAUGUCGAAAAGAUUCGAAAUUUGGUUUCUAGAUACUUUAAGUGGUAUGGAUCAUGUUCAACGGUACUGAUCGUCAAUUUACAGACUGGAUCAUCAAAAAUAAAUAGGCGGCAACAGAAUUCGUUAGCUAUCGAUGGCAUUUCCGCUCAACUCCAUGUUAUUUACAUACAUUUCUUGGUACAUUCAAAAAAUAA
rnacentral:lncRNA from 1 species